UACGUAGGGACCAAGCGUUGUUCGGAUUUACUGGGCGUAAAGGGCGCGUAGGCGGCGUGUCAAGUCAGGCGUGAAAGCCCUGGGCUCAACCUGGGAACCGCGCUUGAGACUGGCAUGCUCGAGUUCGGGAGAGGAUGGUGGAAUUCCCAGUGUAGAGGUGAAAUUCGUAGAUAUUGGGAAGAACACCGAUGGCGAAGGCAGCCAUCUGGACCGACACUGACGCUGAGGCGCGAAAGCGUGGGGAGCAAACAGG
rnacentral:rRNA from 1 species